GACGAACGCUGGCGGCGUGCUUAACACAUGCAAGUCGAGCGGUAAGGCCCUUUCGGGGGUACACGAGCGGCGAACGGGUGAGUAACACGUGGGUGACCUGCCCUCAGCUCUGGGAUAAGCCUGGGAAACCGGGUCUAAUACCGGAUAUGACUCCAUGACGCAUGUUGUGGGGUGGAAAGCCUUGUGCGGCUGAGGAUGGGCCCGCGGCCUAUCAGCUUGUUGGUGGGGUGAUGGCCUACCAAGGCGACGACGGGUAGCCGGCCUGAGAGGGCGACCGGCCACACUGGGACUGAGACACGGCCCAGACUCCUACGGGAGGCAGCAGUGGGGAAUCUUGCGCAAUGGGCGAAAGCCUGACGCAGCGACGCCGCGUGUGGGAUGAAGGUCUUCGGAUUGUAAACCACUGUCGCGAGGGACGAAGCUCUGACGGUACCUCGAAAGGAAGCACCGGCUAACUCUGUGCCAGCCGCCGCAGUAAG
rnacentral:rRNA from 1 species